rnacentral:tRNA from 1 species
GGGCCUGUAGCUCAGUUGGUUAGAGCGCACCCCUGAUAAGGGUGAGGUCGCUGGUUCGAAUCCAAUCAGGCCCACCA